rnacentral:misc_RNA from 1 species
GAUGAAGAACGCAGCGAAACGCGAUAGCUAGUGUGAAUUGCAGAUUUUCGUGAAUCAUCGAGUCUUUGAACGCACAUUGCGCCCCCUGGUAUUCCGGGGGGCAUGCCUAUUCGAGCGUCGUGGUCACGCUUCAAGCCCGGCUUGAUGAUGGGGAACGCCCUCUCUCGGGGGGGGGCCUCCUUCAAAUGCAACUCCAGACGCCUCGUUGGCUGGGAGCGCAGCAGCAGUGCGCUUCCCCGAGGCGAUCGGAUGCCCCUCGUGGGCUCGAGAUUGCUAGACCUCGAAUUAGGCAGGGAUACCCGCUGAACUUAAGCAUAUCAAUAAGCGGAGGA